GACGUAGGGCGCGAGCGUUGUCCGGAUUUAUUGGGCGUAAAGAGCUCGUAGGCGGCUCGUUGCGUCGGCUGUGAAAACCCGCAGCUCAACUGUGGGCUUGCAGCUGAUACGGGCGGGCUGGGAUUCGGUAGGGGAGACUGGAAUUCCUGGUGUAGCGGUGAAAUGCGCAGAUAUCAGGAGGAACACCGGUGGCGAAGGCGGGUCUCUGGGCCGUAACUGACGCUGAGGAGCGAAAGCGUGGGGAGCGAACAGG
rnacentral:rRNA from 1 species